ACUUUCUUUUUUCCGACACAAACUCAAUGACAAACACCACAUCUUUGAACAUUUCCGGGACUUUGAACUUGGCCAGGUUUACUAUGAUGGUUGUGGCUUGUCCCGUGUCAUCAAACUCAACUGCUUUGGGCUUGAUUGUCUCAUGCACAACCCCUUGGAUGUAUUCUUGAUAUGCUUCAACCACUUCAUUUCUCUGAAUCGUUCUUCUUGGGAAACAAAAGGCCUUUGAACGUAUUCAACAUGAUCGGGAACUUGUUUGGUGCACCAAGAAUUGGAUAUCACUUUUGCACCUUUGGAAGAGCUUCCACAAUGUUUUUUCACUCUCUUCUUGCUUUGGAAUAAAAAAACCUGCUAAGGAAAAAAGGACAUUGGGGGAAUAAAUGUAGAAUUGAAGUGAAUUUAGAACUUCCUUACCUGAGUUGGAUGACAUAGGGAUUUGAGGAGCUUGCAGUAAGGAAUUCUUCUAAACUGCCCAGGUCGUCCUCCUCCUCUUCUGCUUGCAGCAGCAAUUCAUCCAUGUUCGGGCUGUUUUGGAUGGUUCUGGGACAGCUUCAUCCUUCAUGUCAUCCUUCCAAAGUGAUAGCAUCGUGGAUUUCAAAAUCUUCCUUUUGAAUUUUCAACAGUUGAGCUGGAGAGUUUCACUUUGCUCUUGAAUUUGUACCAUGAAUUCCAUAAUUCUCCCAUUGACUCAUCAAUUAUCCAACUUUGUCUUGAUUUUGUGAGCCCUGCACCAUUUAAUUCAUCAAAAUUUGAUUGGAUAAUUUAUUGAAAUUUGAGUUUGAUUGAGCAAUUGCAUAGGUUUUGAAUAGAAAUCCUCCUCUUGCUGCCAAUAUCCUCUUGUUGGAAUUGUUGGAGGUUCCCCCCCACAUAUAAUUUGAAUGAUCUCUCCAAGCCGAAUUGUAAGCGUUGGAAAAACAUGUUGUUGCUUGGUUGAUCAUAGCCUUGAUAACCCCAAAUCUUCACAGGCAGAAAAUUGAGGACUUUUGAUAUCCUUGCCCAUAGGGCACAUCAAGUGUAGGGACACUUGGCAUUGUGGUCCGUUUCGGCAACUGACAUUUGAGAAAGUAAGACUUUGCCAAUUGAGCUUGAAUGCUAGCAAAAUCCAUGUCUACUUCUCUAGUACCUAAAAUCAAAAAAGAAAACUAAAUCAAAUAUCAAAAGUAAACAAAAAAGGAAAACAAAACUAAGUCAGAAACUAAAACAAAAACAAACUAAACAAAAAGAAAAGAACCAAGGGAUUAGCAAAGUUGCUAAUCCCCGCAACGGCGCCAAAAAUUUGUGUGAGAAUUAACUUGACACACAAAUUAAACCCUCUUUUUGACAAUUGUUAGUAUAGAUGUAAGUAGGGUAUCGUUCUUAGGCGGGGAUUAGGAGGGAUUGCUAAUCUAUUCUAAAUUAAUUUAAAAAAUUAAUUAAACAAGACUCAAGGACACAAAACUAGGCUAAAAACUCUAAUAACUCGAAACACACUUGAAUGACUCAAAAUAAUGAAAAACAAUCAAUUUAGACACUAGGAACUGAAAUGGACGGAAAUUGAAUUAAAAGACUAACAACAAUGAAAACUAACUAAAUAAUAUAAUUUAAUAAUGGGGGGUUUGGUUUUGACGAGAAGUAAAUUAAACUUAAAUAAAUUACAGAAUUGACAAAAAGCAUGAAUUAAGGUGAAAUGGAUAGUGACGGAUUAGCUAUAGGGUUCUUCUCCACACAUGACACAUAUGCAACUAAAUUGAUUUUCAGUUGUUCUUUAAUAAAUUUAAAUCUCAACGCCCCAAAUAACGUGAAUUGCACUAAUUAACCCUUAGUUUCCACAAUGUUAUUGUUGGGAAUUGCAUAAGACAACCAAACAUUCCCACAAGUUUACAUGAAUGCAUAUAAAAGGACACAAGCAUGUUCCGAAAAACAUUGACUAGGCUCGUUAUAUGAUUUGCAUGAACUUAUGCCAAGAAUUUACUUAACGUGAUGUGACUAAACCUCACUACUACUUGUGAAUAAAGUUCAUAACGAUUAGUGGAAGUUCACUUAUAUUCUAGCAAUCAAAUUCAUGCAUGAAUUAAGUAUGCAUCCUUAAUCGAAUACAAAAAUAAGUUAUAAAAUCAAGCAGUUAAGCAAAUUAAAUCACAAACUCAGAAAUCACAACUGAAGGUAAUCAANUCAUUGUCGGCAGCCGGUGGAUGGAUGAAUAGUACAAAUUACGCGCUUUCUGACAAAGCUGCCCGUAAUUUCCGCAAAGCAGAUUCCUCAUUGAUAUCUGGAAUCGGCGCUUCGAGCUCUGAGCAUCGUCGAUUGUAGAGGUAGCAUGUAACGUGCGGAUAAAUCUGGAAAAAGAAGAUUUGCCCGUGGGUUGAAGCCCAGCUUUUGAGAAAGCUAGCGUGUCUUUGACUGUUGAAUUUCCCUAUUCGAUUUCUGAAUUGGUGCUUCGACAAACUGCCCGAGAUUUCCGCAAAGCUGCAAGUUGCAUGUGACGAGUGACGACACGUCUGGACAAAUUGAUCUUUUGAAAUCCGGUGUUCGGCUCGUGGUUUUUGAGCAAGCCCAGCCUUUAAGAAAUGAAAUGCCUCUUUUGAGAAAAGAAUCCGGCUUUUGAGAAAGGAAACUCCUCUUUUGAGAAAAGAAUCAGGCGUUUGAGAACGGAGCCCCGACUCUUCGAUUUGCGAGAGGACGCCUCUUCAAUUUUUGAGGAGCGCCUCUUUGAUUUCUUUCUUUUUAUAGAGGCGCUAAUUUUGUUACAACACACUUGAGCUCCCUCCUGUAAACACUCCCUUCUUACACUUGUUUAAUCUUGAUCAGUCCUCCUCUCUUCUUUCUUCACCACCUCUGAAAAUGUCUGGCCCUUCCGAUCGUCGUUUUGACUUGAACCUUGGUGAAGAGGCAGCUCCGCUUCACCAGACAAAUAUGGCGCCCAUCCUUCAUAUCCCCUACCGGUCCCCUUACCGUGGGGGAUUCGGUGAUGAAAAAUGAUAUGACGCUGCGGUGGUGGCCGGAACCUUGUCACCCCCAGAGAUAACAGACUGCUCGCUAGACGGUCUGAUGAAUUGGCGGUUAAGGAGUCUCUGGCUCUUAGCGUGCAGUGUGCUGGUUCGGUGUCCAACAUGGCCCAACGCCUAUAUGCUCGAACCCGUCACGUUGAAUCGUUGGUGGCUGAAAUACAGAGUCUCAAAGAGGAGAUUAGAGGACUCAAGCAUGAAAAUAAACAAUUGCACAAGCUUGCACACAGUUAUGCCACAAACAUGAAGAGGAAAAUUGACCAGCUGCAGGAAAAUGAUGGUCAGAUUUUACUUGAUCACCGGAGGUUUGUGGGUUUGUUCCAACCGCAUCUGCCUUCGUCUUCUGGGGCGGCACCGCGUAGUGAAGCUCCAACUGAUCAAUCUCCGAUACCUCCUCCUUCCGUGGCCCCGCCGACUGCUGAAGCACCGCCGACUACUGAAGCACCACCUGACCAAUGAAGCACCACCUGACCAAUGAAUGCUAUUAGCUUACACAUCAUUGUAAAAUAUUUUUACUUUUAUGUUUUUUUUUUAAGUGUUUUUUUUUUUAUUUUAUUUUAUUUUUAAAUAUGUAAAUUAAUGUAAAAAGACUUUGUUUAACCUUUCCCCACACUUAAACUACAAACUCACAGAAAUCAACCAAAUAACACAACCAACUAAACAAAACAAAAUGAAAGCAGUAAAGAUAAGGGUGUAAGAAUGCAAAUCUGAUUUGGUUAGCGAUUCCAAAGUCUCCCUUCGUUGAAUGCUUGGGUGCCUCCCAAGAAGCGCUUGAUUUAACGUCUUUAGCCGGACAAAUCUUUCCUUUAAAUUCCCCUCGGCUCCAAAGCAUGGAAUUUAUCUUUUAAUGGGAGGUGAUACUUGAAAUGAUUCGGCAAUGGUUUAAAUUCAAGAGUGGGUGCCUGAAUCAUCAAAAUCAGAAAAAUGUUAGUAUAAAUAAAAAUUAAAAUUGGAGAAGAUGGCUUACUUUCUUUUUCCGACACAAACUCAAUGACAAACACCACAUCUUUGAACAUUUCUGGGAUUUUGAACUUGGCCAGGUUUACUAUGAUGGUUGUGGCUUGUCCCGGGUCAUCAAACUCAACUGCUUUGGGCUUGAUUGUCUCAUGCACAGCCCCUUGGAUGAAUUCUUGAUCUGCUUCAACCACUUCAUUCUCUUGAAUCGUUCUUCUUGGGAAACAAAGGCCUUUGAAAUAUUCAACAUGAUCUAGAACUUGCUUUGUUGCACCAAGAAUUGGAAUAUCCUUUUGUACCUUUGGAAGAGCUUCCACAAUGUCUUUUUCACUCUCUUCUUGCUUGGGAAUAAAAAACCUGCUAGGAAAAAGGACAUUGGGAGGAAUAUCAUUAGAAUGAAGUGAAUUUAGAACUCCCUUACCUGAGUUGGAUGACAUAGGGAUUUGAGGAGCUUGCAGUAAGAAUUCUUCUAAACUGCCCAGGUCGUCCUCCUCCUCUUCUGCUUGCAGCAGCAAUUCAUCCAUGUUCGGGCUGUGUUUGGAUGGUUCUGGGACAGCUUCAUCCUUCAUGUCACCUUCCAAAGUGAUAGCAUCGUGGAUUUCAAAAUCUUCCUUCGAAUUUUCAACAGUUGAGCUGGAGAGUUCACUUUGCUCUUGAAUUUGUACCAUGAAUUCCAUAAUCUCUCCCAUUUGACUCAUCAAUUUAUCCAACUUCUUGUCUUGAUUUUGUGAGCCCUGCACCAAAGAAUUUAAUUCAUCAAAAAUUUGAUUGUAAUCUAUUGACGAAUCUGAGUUUGAUUGAGCAUAUUGCAUAGGUUUUGAAUAGAAAUCCUCAUCUUGCUGCCAAUAUCCCUCUUGUUGGAAUUGUUGAGGUUCCCCCCACAUAUAAUUUGAAUGAUCUCUCCAAGCCGAAUUGUAAGCGUUGGAAAACAUGUUGUUACUUGGUUGAUCAUAGCCUUGAUAACCCCAAGCAUCUUCAUUGGCAGAAAAUUGAGGACUUUGAUAUCCUUGCCCAUAGGGCACAUCAAGUGUAGGGACACUUGGCAUUGUGGUCCGUUCGGCAUACUGCGACAUUUGAGAAGUAAGAUUUGCCAAUUGAGCUUGAAUGCUAGCAAAAUCCAUGUCUUACUUCUCUAGUACCUAAAAUCAAAGAAAGAAAACUAAAUCAAAUAUCAAAAGUAACACAAAAUAAGGAAAACAAAACUAAGUCAGAAACUAAAACAAAACCAAACUAAACAAAAAGAAAAGAACCAAGGGAUUAGCAAAGUUGCUAAUCCCCGGCAACGGCGCCAAAAUUUGGUGUGAGAAUUACUUGACACACAAAUUAAACCCUCUUUUUGACAAUUGUAGUAUAGAUGUAAGUAGGG
rnacentral:lncRNA from 1 species